CCUUCCGGAGAAGGAGCCAAAACCAAGAGCUGUGGAUUUUGAGAAGUGGACACGGAUGAUGCCCAUCCCACAUACACGGUGAAGCUUGUGCCGGUGACAACCACGAGAAGAGCUGUCUGCUCAGGUGGUUCCAGAAGGCUGCCUACACCCAGAGGAAGGUGUGCCAAAGGACUUCACCCAGCUGCCUGUUUCCAGCAGCAGCAUCUCUUGGAGGAUGUGGAGGCUCCCUGUGGACUCAGCGGCUCUUCCAGAAGCAAAGUGCUCUCACAGACGUUCAUGACUGCCCACACAAUUUGUCUUUCUCUCUCUUGUCUCCCAGCACAUCAUAACCCCCAUCUCCUGUGUCAUUUUUCUCUCUGGCUGCUGAGACGUUCUGGGUGUUACAUGGUGGCCCACGGGCCGGGGCGUCUCCUUGGGGGCUGGAGAGGGCUCAGGCUUCACAGCCAGCGGUCCCCCCCAGGGGAUUGAGGAGCGAAGGCCGGGGCUGUGGGAUGUUUUUGCCUCCUUUCUGGCCAACCUUCAAAAUCAGUUUUUUUCCCUGGAAAGGAACAAGCCAUGCCCACAGGAGAACAGCAGGUUACCCCGGCGGGGAGGGUGCAGGGAACGCGGUGGGGUUUGGCACCAACAUGCCAGUGUCCCCAGGAAUCUGCCUGGGGGGUCCUGUGUAGGGAGCUUAAAAAAAUAAUAAUCACACAGCCUCCCUUCCCCCCCCAGGCUCCGCAUACCCCAAACCCAAACAUCAAAAAAAAAGAAACCCCUACCCCUAUACCCCCCCGCAUUUUCAAAAGGAUCAAGCCACUGUUGACUUAAGCCAAAGCGCUCCCAGCAUUUCAGCUGGCACACGCAUUUAGUGAAACAGUCUUAAAUGUCUCAGGAGGACGCGGUUCAGCCCCCGCCUUCCCAUGCGGUGACAGGACUUGCCACUACAAAGGGCUCAAGCAACGACCUCACCUUAUCAGGUAAGACACCCCCCCCCCCCCCCCCCCC